GGGGGGGGGGGGGGGGGGGCGGGGGGGGGGGGGGGGGGGGGGGGGGGGGCGGGGGGGGGUGGGGGCUCGCGGGGCGAGCGUGUGCGUAAGACGUGGGUGACCUGCCCGGGGCGUUGGGGUAACUUCAUGGAACUGGGGCCUGUACCCGAUAGGAGCUCCUGCUGCAUGGUUGGGGUUGGCAAGGUUCGGCGGUUGUGUAUGGACCCGCGGCUUAUCAGCCUGUUGGUGGGGUAGUUGCUUACCAAGGCUUUGACGGGUAGCCGGCCUGAGAGGGUGACCGGCCACAUUGGGAAUGAGAUACGGCCCAGACUACUGCGGGAGGCAGCAGUGGGGAAUAUUGCACAAUGGGCGGAAGCCUGAUGCAGCAACGCCGCGUGCGGGAUGACGGCCUUCGGGUUGUAAACCGCUUUCGCCUGUGACGAAGCAUGAGUGACGGUAAUGGGUAAAGAAGCACCGGCUAACUACGUG
rnacentral:rRNA from 1 species